UAAACGACUCUCGGCAACGGAUAUCUCGGCUCACGCAUCGAUGAAGAACGUAGCAAAAUGCGAUACUUGGUGUGAAUUGCAGAAUCCCGUGAACCAUCGAGUUUUUGAACGCAAGUUGCGCCCGAAUCCUUUUGGUUGAGGGCACGUCUGCCUGGGCGUCACAC
rnacentral:rRNA from 1 species